UAUGACCAUAUCACAUUGAAACACCAGUUCUUGUAUAAUCACCAAAGUUAAGCAAUGUUGAGCCUGGUCAGUAUCUAUAUGGGUAACCACUUGGGAAUAUCUGGUACUGUAAG